rnacentral:rRNA from 1 species
UUUGACGGGUAACGGGGAAUUAGGGUUCGACUCCGGAGAGGGAGCCUGAGAAACGGCUACCACAUCCAAGGAAGGCAGCAGGCGCGCAAAUUACCCAAUCCCAACAUGGGGAGGUAGUGACAAGAAAUACUGAUAUAGGGUCCUAUAGGAUCUUGUAAUUGGAAUGAGUACAAUUUAAACCCAUUAACGAGGAACAACUAGAGGGCAAGUCUGGUGCCAGCAGCCGCGGUAAUUCCAGCUCUAGUAGCAUACAUUAAAAUUGUUGCAGUUAAAACGCCCGUAGUUGAAGUUUGGCCCUGGUCAACUGGUCUGCCUCACCGCGAGUACUGGUAUGAUUGGGUCUUUUUUCUUGGUUUACUAUAUGCUCAGUAAUGGGUGUAUUUGUAUAACUAGGACUUUUACUUUGAAAAAAUUAGAGUGUUUAAAGCAGGCUUUUGCUCGAAUACCUUAGCAUGGAAUAAUGGAAUAUGACGAGUGGUUGUUUUUCAUUGGUUUUCACGACUACCGUAAUGAUUGAU